rnacentral:scRNA from 1 species
CUACUUCCCUCUUACAGCAGUGGAUGGAUCAUAGUUCGAAGUCUCUCAGAUCCACUAUGGCCCGCUGGUUCGAUCUCUCCUGGACCACCACUUUU